GUGCUUGCUUCAGCGGCACAUAUACUAAAAUUGAAACGAUACAGAGAAGAUUAGCAUGGCCCCUGAGUAAGGAUGACACGCAAAUUCAUGAAGCGGUCCAUAUUUUU
ensembl:snRNA U6 U6 spliceosomal RNA